rnacentral:rRNA from 1 species
CUUAAGUAGUAGUAGUUAUGUUCUUGAAACUUAAAAAAUUUGGCGGUAUUUUAGUCUAUUCAGAGGAACCUGUCCUGUAAUCGAUAAUCCACGUUGGACCUUACUUAAAUUUGUUUAUCAGUUUAUAUACCGUCGUUAUAAGAAUAUUUUAUUAGAAUAAUAAUUUUCUAAGUUUUUUAUAAAAAUUUAUAUCAGAUCAAGGUGUAGCUUAUGUUUAAGUAGAGAUGGGUUACAAUAAAGUUAUUUAAAUGAAUUAAUUUUUGAAAUAAGAUUAUGAAGGUGGAUUUGAAUGUAAAAUUAUAAAGAUAAAUAAUUUGAUUUUAGCUCUAAAAUAUGUACACAUCGCCCGUCACUCUUAUUAUUAAGGUAAGAUAAGUCGUAACAUAGUAGAUGUACUGGAAAGUGUAUCUAGAAUGCAAUUUAAAGCUUAAUUAGUAAAGCAUUUCAUUUACAUUGAAAAGAUUUUUGUGCGAAUCAAUAUAAGUUGAAUAAGAUUUAUUUAUUAAUAAUUUUAUUUAUGAAUUUUUAUUUAUUAGAAAUAACUAUAAAAAUGGUGUUUUAGUAUUGUAUAAAGAAUAAAUAAUUUUAAUAAUAGUUUAAUAGUAUUGUAAAAGAAAAUUGAAAUAAUUUGAAAAAUUCUU